GUCUAAGGUCGUAGGAGGUUAUACAGGCAAAUCCGUAUAACAAUACUCCGAGAACUGAAAGGCUUUUUGAAGUCUUCGGAUGGAUAGAAGAACCCCUGAUGCCGUCGAGCCAAGAAAAGUUUCUAAGUUUAGCUAAUGUUGCCCGUACCGUAAACCGACACAGGUGGGUGGGAUGAGUAUUCUAAGGCGCGUGGAAGAACUCUCUUUAAGGAACUCUGCAAAAUAGCACCGUAUCUUCGGUAUAAGGUGUGGUUAGCUUCGUACUAGGAUUUACUCCGAAAGCGAAGAAACUUACAACAAAGAGUCCCUCCCGACUGUUUACCAAAAACACAGCACUCUGCUAACUCGUAAGAGGAUGUAUAGGGUGUGACGCCUGCCCGGUGCUCGAAGGUUAAUUGAUGGGGUUAGCAUUAGCGAAGCUCUUGAUCGAAGCCCGAGUAAACGGCGGCCGUAACUAUAACGGUCCUAAGGUAGCGAAAUUCCUUGUCGGUUAAAUACCGACCUGCAUGAAUGGCGUAACGAGAUGGGAGCUGUCUCAAAGAGGGAUCCAGUGAAAUUGUAGUGGAGGUGAAAAUUCCUCCUACCCGCGGCAAGACGGAAAGACCCCGUGGACCUUUACUACAGCUUGACACUGCUACUUGGAUAAGAAUGUGCAGGAUAGGUGGGAGGCUUUGAGUAUAUGACGCCAGUUGUAUAUGAGCCAUUGUUGAGAUACCACUCUUUCUUAUUUGGGUAGCUAACCAGCUUGAGUUAUCCUCAAGUGGGACAAUGUCUGGUGGGUAGUUUGACUGGGGCGGUCGCCUCCCAAAUAAUAACGGAGGCUUACAAAGGUUGGCUCAGAACGGUUGGAAAUCGUUCGUAGAGUAUAAAGGUAUAAGCCAGCUUAACUGCAAGACAUACAAGUCAAGCAGAGACGAAAGUCGGUCUUAGUGAUCCGGUGGUUCUGUGUGGAAGGGCCAUCGCUCAAAGGAUAAAAGGUACCCCGGGGAUAACAGGCUGAUCUCCCCCAAGAGCUCACAUCGACGGGGAGGUUUGGCACCUCGAUGUCGGCUCAUCGCAUCCUGGGGCUGGAGCAGGUCCCAAGGGUAUGGCUGUUCGCCAUUUAAAGCGGUACGCGAGCUGGGUUCAGAACGUCGUGAGACAGUUCGGUCCCUAUCUGCCGUGGGCGUAAGAAGAUUGAAGAGAUUUGACCCUAGUACGAGAGGACCGGGUUGAACAAACCACUGGUGUAGCUGUUGUUCUGCCAAGAGCAUCGCAGCGUAGCUAAGUUUGGAAAGGAUAAACGCUGAAAGCAUCUAAGCGUGAAGCCAACUCUAAGAUGAAUCUUCUCUAAGCUCUCUAGAAGACUACUAGUUUGAUAGGCUGGGUGUGUAAUGGAUGAAAGUCCUUUAGCUGACCAGUACUAAUAGAGCGUUUGGCUUAUCUUUAAUAAAGCAU
rnacentral:rRNA from 1 species